rnacentral:rRNA from 1 species
UACGUAGGGUCCAAGCGUUAUCCGGAUUUAUUGGGCGUAAAGCACUUGUAGGUGGUUUAAUAAGUCUUCUCUUAAAUCUCCAAGCUCAACUUGGAACCUGGAGAAGAUACUAUUAGGCUAGUGGUCAGCAGGGGCAAAUGGAAUUCCCGGUGUAGGAGUGAAAUCCGUUGAUAUCGGGAGGAACACCAAUGGCGAAGGCAAUUUGCUAGGCUGAUUCAGACACUGAGAUGUGAAAGCGUGGGGAGCGAACGGG